GAGGAACAUGCCCCAGAGAUAGGACGGGAUGGGUCGCCAUAUUUUGUAAGCAAAUUUAAUAUUGCACUUGUCCCGGCCUAUCUCUGCUGCAUUUCAAC
rnacentral:pre_miRNA from 1 species